rnacentral:rRNA from 1 species
AGUCUGCAACUCGACUACAUGAAGCUGGAAUCGCUAGUAAUCGCGAAUCAGCAUGUCGCGGUGAAUACGUUCCCGGGUCUUGUACACACCGCCCGUCACACCAUGGGAGUUGGUAACGCCCGAAGCCAGUGACCCAACCGGAAACGGAGGGAGCUGUCGAAGGUGGGACCGAUAACUGGGGUNAAGUCGUAACAAGGUAGC